UGUUGCAAGAUCAUGGACCCUUUCGCCUAAAAUGUUUUCGUUGAAUUAACUGAGUCGUUGAAUAUUGAAAGUUUUUGCAAAUUGUGAAUACUCAUUCCUCUGAACUCGUAACUACUAAGAUGUAAGUAAACUGCAACAUACUCCUAAUGGAAAUACGACACAUUUGAGAUGAAUCACUUAUUCGACAAAUUGUAUGACCUGGUAUAACCUAGAGCUCCAGUUUUCACAACAUUUGAAUGUUGUAAAUAACAGGAAAGAGUGGUCAGCUAUAGAUAUACCUUAUGAAGUGACCAUUAGUGGUGGAAUAUUCGAGGAAAAUUCCAGUAAAAAAUCAUAAAUAUGGUUGACUUACAGCAAAUGAUGGACAUGGGAGCAUUUGGCGUUAUAGAAAACAUAUUCACUCAUCUUACGAAAUCAAAUGGACGAUAUCGGACUGAAAUUGUCAUUUUGUCCGAAACAAUAAUAUCGUGUUUUGAAACAUGCAGAGAAUUCAGAUGUUACUCAAAGAAAUUCAUAACACGGGAUAAUUUAGACUGGGAAUAUAUUUCCCGAAAAACAAGUUUACCUGAAGAUUUCAUUUCGGAUUAUGAAGAUUAUCUCGACUGGGACGAGAUUUCCUCAGGACUUGACGCCUCGGAAGAUCUCAUUUGGAAAUUUAGGUAUAAAUUUAAUUGGAAGUUGAUUCUGGAGUCGCAAAUCAUUUCGGAUGAACUAUUGAAAAAGUUAAUACAUGGAGAGUUUCUCAACACGACAAAUGAAUUAUUUUGGGAACACAUCAGCAGGUAUUUAACUUUAUCUGAAGACUUCAUUCAUAAAUAUGCUGAUGAACUGAACUGGAAAAUUAUCUGCGAGUACCAGUUGUUGUCUGAAAGUUUAAUGGAAAAAUUUUCUGAUCGACUUGACUGGUACAAUGUGUCGACAUUUCAGAAUUUAUCAGAAUUAUUCAUUUCUAAAUAUUUCGAUAAGAUUGAUUAUCAUGGCUUAUAUUUAAACUUAAAUAUGUCAGAAACUCUCGUCAAUGAACUGAUUUUCAAAUUUCACAAAAAUAUUUCAGUACAGUGAAUGUGCCAAUUUCUAAAUUUAAUUUACAUAAUUUCUUCAUUUACUGUAUUUUUAUUGAUUAUUGAAAAAUAUAUAUUUUCAGUUAUUA